rnacentral:rRNA from 1 species
GACAGAGGUGCCAAGCGUUAGGCGGAAUCACUGGGCUUAAAGCGUGUGUAGGCGGAAUGGUAAGUACCUUGUGAAAUCCCACAGCUCAACUGUGGAACUGCUCGGUAUACUGCUUUUCUUGAGCCACUUAGGGGCUGUCGGAACAAACGGUGGAGCGGUGAAAUGCGUAGAUAUCGUUUGGAACGCCAACGGUGAAAACAGACUGCUGGGGUUGCGCCGACGCUGAGACACGAAAGCCAGGGGAGCAAACGGG